GACGAACGCUGGCGGCGUGCCUAAUACAUGCAAGUAGAACGCACAGUUUAUACCGUAGCUUGCUACACCAUAGACUGUGAGUUGCGAACGGGUGAGUAACGCGUAGGUAACCUGCCUGGUAUCGGGGGAUAACUAUUGGAAACGAUAGCUAAUACCGCAUAAUAUUGAUUAUUGCAUGAUAAUUGAUUGAAAGAUUCUAUUGCAUCACUACCAGCUUGACCUGCGUUGUAUUAGCUAGUAGGUGAGGUAACGGCUCACCUAGGCGACGAUACAUAGCCGACCUGGGAGGGUGAACGGCCACACUGGGACUGAGACACGGCCCAGACUCCUACGGGAGGCAGCAGUAGGGAAUCUUCGGCAAUGGACGAAAGUCUGAACGAGCAACGCCGCGUGAGUGAAGAAGGUUUUCGGAUCGUAAAGAUCUGUUGUAAGAGAAGAACGGGUGUGAGAGUGGAAAGUUCACACUGUGACGGUAUCUUACCAGAAAGGGACGGCUAACUACGUG
rnacentral:rRNA from 1 species